CGCCUCCUGCUUUCCAAUAGGAGGUCCAGCCUGCCCGGUGACCUAGUUUAACGGCCGCGGUAUCCUAACCGUGCGAAGGUAGCGUAAUCACCUGUUUUUUAAUUGAAGACCUGUAUGAAUGGCAUCACGAAAAUCGUACUGUCUCCUUUUUCCAAUCAGUGAAACUAAUCUCCCCGUGAAAAAGCGGGAAUACAAAUAUAAGACGAGAAGACCCUUUGGAGCUUAAGACAAAGUAACGUUUUGCACCUCCUCUUAACCUAUUUCCCUAAGCACUCACAUUACAAGUCUUCGGUUGGGGCAACCGCGGAGUAAAACUCACCCUCCAAGUUGAAUAGAGCCCUUCUUAACAGAAAGCCACAACUUUAUGUAUCAACAAAUUGACAUCAUGACCCAAUAUUUUGAUUAUCGAACCAAGUUACCCUAGGGAUAACAGCGCAAUCCACUUCAAGAGUUCAUAUCGACAAGUGGGCUUACGACCUCGAUGUUGGAUCAGGGUAUCCCAGUGGUGCAGCCGCUACUAACGGUUCGUUUGUUCAACG
rnacentral:rRNA from 1 species